rnacentral:misc_RNA from 1 species
AGAACAUAGUAGCUGCAGGUUGAUGUACUGUGCGCAUGGGGUCUGUCAGCAGACCGAGGCCGUUACAUGCGGGGGAUGUAUCAUCCUAAUGAUUAUCUAGUCUACAGAACAAUUAUGGCUGCCUUUUAUUCAUUGCUGGCAGUUAAAGAUUGUGUAUGGGUUUUUUACUACAAUGGUCAUUGUGUCACUUGUCUGGGAGAGAAUAUAAUGAUAUAUUUUCGUGACUUGCAAAUUUUAUGAGAAUUUACCAUAUUUGUGAUAAAAUCCCUUGAUGUAUGCGUUUCACAUGCUGCAUAUAUAUUU